AUAAGAAACUUGGCGUGUCGUGACUGAUGUACUGAUAAGAAACUCGGUGUGAUAUGACUGAUGUGCAUGUGUCUGUCU
ensembl:miRNA Mir468 microRNA 468